ACAGAAGCCAGUGCAGAUGUUCCAAAAACAACAGACAAGAAAAUAGAGGUGGUGGUGGAAGCCACGGUCUACUGUCAGAGCUGUGACCACUUUGGAACGUGGUCUUUGAUUGGAGCCAAGCCCAUUCCUUCAGCCAAAGUGAGUGUUACCUGCAAAAGCCACAAUGGUCAUGUGAGCUACUAUAAGGUCUUUGAGACAGACAAGAAUGGUUACCUUUAUGCACCACUUGAAGGGUUCAAAAUGCAGCAUUAUAUACUUGACCACCCCCUCCACUCUUGCUACGUGAAGCCUGUUUGGUCUCCUCUUGAAAGUUGCAGCCUCCUCUCCAAUGUCAAUUAUGGUCUGAAUGGGGCUCCACUUCGU
rnacentral:lncRNA from 1 species